UGCUGGAUAGCUCAGUUGGCAGAGCAGUUGCCCGCGAAAGGCAAAGGUCCCAAGUUCAAGUCUUGGUCCAGCAC